CACGUAGGGCGCGAGCGUUUGUCCGGAAUUAUUGGGCGUAAAGAGCUCGUAGGCGGCCUGUUGCGUCCGCUGUGAAAGCCCGGGGGCUUUAACCCCGGGUCGGCAGUGGAUACGGGCAGGCUAGAGGUAGGUAGGGGAGAAUGGAAUUCCCGGUGUAGCGGUGAAAUGCGUAGAUAUUGGGAGGAACACCAGUGGCGAAGGCGGCUCACUGGACCGGUACUGACGCUGAGGCGCGAAAGCGUGGGGGAGCAAACGGGG
rnacentral:rRNA from 1 species